GAACCCAGGAGCGCUUAACCACUGAGCCACAUCGCCAGCCCUUUUUUAUAUUUUAUUUCAAAACAGGGUCUUGCUGAGUUGCUUAGGGCUUCGCUAAGUUGCUGAGGCUGGCUUUGAACUUGUGAUCUUCCUGCCUCAGCCUCCUGAGCCACUGGGAUUACAGGCGUACGUCACUGUGCUUGGCUGAAAGUCCCACUUUGUUUACAUGUUUGUCCUCUGUCGAUAUUGGUGGAAGAUCUCAGUGCGGGGAGCUGGCUGGCAUAAAGGAGCUGGUCCAAGCAGGCAUUAAGGGACGGAGAAGGGCUGGCAUUUUAGUAAUCAUUGUGCCGGGAAGAAAUCUAACACAGACCAAAUUGAAUCUGUGUUUGCCUGUUACGUCCUGGAUAUGAGGUGUCCCCCAAAGUGCCUGUGCAAUGCAGGAAUGUUCAGAGGUGAAGUGAUCAGAUCAUCAAAGCUUAACCUAAUCAGUGGAUUAAUCCAUGUCUUGGAUGAAUAGUUUGAAUGGAUUACUGUUAACUGUAGGCAGCCGGGCAGGGCUGGAGGAAGUGGGUCACUGGGCGCCUGCCUUGGGGAUUACCUAUUUAGUCCUGGCUCCUCCCACUCUCUGCCUCCUGGCUCCCACCAGCCGAGCAGGGCUCCCCCCUCCCCCGUGCCCUUCUGCUAUGAUGUCCCACCUCCCCUCCCGCCCAGGGCUGCUGAGCCUCUGAAACCACAAGCCCAAGUCAAGUUUUCCUCCUCUUCAGUCCUUGCCGGGUAUUUUGGUCUCGUAAGGCUGCUUAACACACUCCCAGAGUCACGGUGACUCCGUGACGAAGCUGGGCACAAGGACGAUGGGCCAACUCCCCUCCUGCAGCAUUUGGUCACGGCUCAGGGUCUUCUGGCCUCACAUCCUCGCUCUCUUUCUUGCCUUUGACAUUUGGUACCACACUGAAGCGAUGGUCUUGGAAGCACCUGGUUAGAAAUUGAAUUCACAGAGAGAAGCCCAAGAGGCCCUGGUACAGAGGACAUGGAGCUGUUCUGUAGCUCUGGGCCGAUCCCAAAGGCUCAGGAGUGGCCCCUCCAUCCCCACCAUCAAAGCAGAUAGAGCGAACUGGGGCUGGGGCUCAGUGGUAGAGCGCUCGCCUAGCACGGGUGAGGCACCGGGUUCGAUCCUCGCACCACAUAAAAAUAAAUGUAUUGUGUCCACCUACAACUAAAAAAACCCCCCAAAUCAGACAGAGCUCUGCGGGGGGGCGGUCUGUCUGCCUCACCAACUGCACAGGGCAGUCUCGCCUGGUGGAGCUAGUCCUCCUAAUACGUCCAGGAGGCCAGCGUGCCUGGUUCUCAAUUGCGCUAGCCAGCGCUCUUGGCCUUUCCAUCAUCUUCUGUUCUCCAUCGCAAUUCAUCCAGUAGCUCUGCCUCGUGAGACCCAGGGCAGAGCCUGCAGCGGGAGGCACAGGGAGCGGCCUGUAGCCUCCAGAGGAGUCACGGAGGUUUUCUCUCCAGGUCUGGAAAUGCUUCAUUUCAACACUGCUGUCAGACACAAGCCUGGGUCUGUGUGGGGGGCAGCUGCAUGUUCAUGAUGUGUGAUCCUGUGGAUUUGUCCUGUGACGUUGUCUGAGGCCUCACGAAGCAGACAACAGCUACUCAUCAGAAGGUCACUCUUAUGCUUCUCACGUGGACUGAUUCACCCUCCAAAGAGAAGGGAUGGACUUUUUGACCAAUUAUUACAUAUUGAUCCUGAAUAUGUAUGAAUACACAAGUGAACAAUGGCCAGAGCGUAUAUAAAAAAAUAGAAAAUUGACUCAUAACCUGUAGCAACAUGCCAAGAAAAUCAACUCAGAAACCAGCCUUCUGGAAGCCAGACUUGUAGGAAGCCAGACUUUGAGCUCUAGAAGGGUAAACAAUAACUUCUUCAAUCAUCUGCCCCAGAUGGCCAGGACUGAAUUAAUAACUAACAGUUUCAUUUAUUUUUGUGGAGGGUGGUUAUUGGGGAUUGAAAUCAGGGACACUCCACCACUGAGCCACAUCCCAGCCCUAUUUAGUACUUUAUUACAGACAGGGUCUCACUGAGUUACUUAGCACCUCACUUUUGCUGAGGCUGGCUUUGAACUCACGAUCCUCCUGCCUCAGCCUCCUGAGCCUCUGGGAUUACAUGUGUGCACCACCUGCACCCCAGCUUCAUUAAGUUUUGUCCCCACUUCCAAUUUAGGCCAACCCGAGCAAGCCAAAUGUUCAUCUGCAACCUCACAUAGAAUGCCCCACUAGUCAGCCGCCAACAGCGUCUGCAGUCCCACUGCUUUGGGGGGACACCCGAAGCCCAUCCUUCCACCUCAAAAUCUUCCCUCUCCCCUACCUGUUUUCACAUCUCUGUCAAAAGGCAAGUGACGGUGGCCAUUUCCUUCACUACAGUAGGAUCAGAAUGCUUUUCUCAUUUUUCCCCACAGUGAAGUGAGGACGAAGGAGGUUUAAAUAUGCACAUAGGCAGUGAUGCCAGGCAAGGUCUCGCUGUCCACCACACAUAGACGCCAAGACUGUGGCACUAUUUUAGCAAAACGAAGCAGCUUUAUUGUAGAUUGAUCCACAAGGACAGGAGGCCACUUAAAUCUGUCUCCUGGAUCUGCUGGGAGCAAAGGAAUUUAAGAGGGCUGGG
rnacentral:lncRNA from 1 species